GUGCUCACUUCAGCAGCACAUAUAUUAAAACUGGAGCCAGACAGAGAUUAGCAUGGUCCCUGUUAAAAGAUGACACACAUUCAUAGAGCAUUCCAUAUUUUU
ensembl:snRNA U6 U6 spliceosomal RNA